AGACUAACUUUUCAAAACCAUUCACUUAAGGAUAAAACACAAUGGUUGGAAAACACUUUAAAGAAGAGCACUAAAGAGCAGUUUGGGUUUUUUAUGGAUUCUCAUUUAAAUAUGUGCUGUUGCGUUAGCACCUUAUCAGCACAUAGGAAAAAGAUCUGAACGGCAUGAAAGAAGUUCUGGAAAUGAAGAAUGAUUUGAUUCGGAAAAAGGACAAAAGUAUCAUGGAACCGGAAAAGCUGAUGGGUUUCCUUUUAUAAAUACCAGCGAUAGCCGAUAUAUUUUAAUAUUUUGUCCUGCGUAGUCACAACUAUGCCCACCACUUCCAUUAGGAAAAAUGAUGUUAUUGUUGGGUAGUCAUGAUGUCAAGUCAUGCGAUGAUAUUUGGGACAACUAAGAUCACAUUGGGAUAAUAAGUAAAUUAUGUACACAUUUGAAAUCUUUAUUUCUGUUUCUUGCUAUAGGCUCAGACACGGUACAAGAGAAAAAAAAGAUCCAGGUGCUCCAGAAGCAAAAGGAAGACCAGAUUCAGCAAAACAUUGAAGUGAGAAGGAGAAUGGAAAAGAAAGUCAGGGAAUGUC